CAAACCUGGAUAUAGAUGAGCCGAUA
rnacentral:piRNA from 1 species